rnacentral:rRNA from 1 species
UUGCAGAAUCCCGUGAACCAUCGAGUUCUUUGAAACGCAAGUUGCGCCCGAAGCCAUUAGGCCGAGGGCACGUCUGCCUGGGUCGUCACGC